AGGAGAUUUCCACUGCUCUACUCACUCCGCCAUCUUGGCUCCCGGUUCUGGAUAUUUUUAAAUUCCAAUGUGAUGCUAUAUUUUAAUAAUCAAUUUAAUUCACGUUUAUUUAAAAUGAAACUUUGCUGUCUUUUACACUGGUUGCCUUCUCUGUGUCCUUUCUUCCUCUGAUGAUUUAGAAGAAAAAAAUAUCUAUUUCUAAAUGAUUUUUAGGAGUUAAUCUUAAAUUUUUAACAUACAUAAACAUUUUUUACUGUGAUAUAUCUUAAUUUAACUAGUAUCCGUACUCUUCACCACAAUAAAGUACUUUUAAUACAUUGGGUUUCAUAUUUCUGCCUCCCUCGCAUACUCUCUCUCCUAUGUUGCAUUUAUUUGUAAUUCUGAUGAGGUGGUUGUUUCUUCUUAAAGAAGUAUCAAUCCAAAGUUCCACCCCAUUAGGUUAUCUCUUUUUUGCAUUAUGACCAUAAAUGUUUUUGUAUUUUUAUUUUGUAAGUCUAUUUCUAUAAAAUAUGUAGGAUUGCUUGAGUUUUAAAAAUAUUUCCAAGUAGGACUAUAUAUUGUAUGUAGCUCUCUGCAGUUUGUUUUUUCCCCCGAUGUUAUUUCAUUGUUUGAUUUGAUGAAGUAUGCUCUUUGACAGUUCUUUGAAAGUUCGACUGUAGUCUGGCCUUGAAUACCUUGAAUUCUUGAAUUCAAUACCUAUUUUCUGUCUUCUGAAAAUCUUUUAGCAUUUUCUCUUUAUCUUUGGUUUUCUAAGGUUUCAUACAGAUGUAUCUAAAUGUGUUUAUUCAAAAUUUUCUCUCGUCAUUAUCUUACAAAAUUACUAACAAAAAAAGUCCCUUAUCUUACAAGUGAAAUUCUUUGAGUAUUUGUGAGAAUAAUAAUUAUACAUAAAGUAUUCUGUUUCUCUAGUAAGUAUUUUUCCUUGGGUAUUUAACUCAUCUCCAUCUGAUAAGAGGUGUUCGGUCCUCUCUUUCACUGUGUUGCUUUUCACGCCCGUUUGACGAUUUCAGCAGAACCCCUGCACUGAGGUGUGAACUCCCUGCGAACCUCCACCUUGUCUGUCCUGCUCAUUCCUAUGUCUAGAGGAGUUCUUGCAGAAAUGUGCAAAAUACACACUUUACACUUGCAUUUGACAAAGAUUUGUUAAAUACAUGGUACAUAGUUUUCUGCCCAUCUUUGCAUUUGAUAAUUGGUGCUCAUCUAUUAAUGACUAUGGGUUCUUGUUACCAUAGUCUUGUCUUUAUGGGUUAGUGAACGAGAACUCAAAGGAUAUCCCAGUCUGGACGUGCCAGUUUGUCCUUCAGUGACUUUUGGGUAUGUGGAAAACAGAAGUGGGAGUAGAUUCAGUUAUGGUGGUGAACCUUAAUUCAUUAUUACGAAGAAUCUUUACCCUGUCCUUCUUGAGGAGUAUUACAAGGAUUCAAUGCACCUGUCUCAUUAUUUAAUUUAUUCCUAACACAUCCCUGAGACACUGGAAAUAUAAUGACUAUAGUCAUUUGUGUACUGCUGUGUUUGAUAGUGGACUCUUUUUUUUUUUUUAAUUCCAUAUGUCUUGGGGAUGAGCUGACAUCUAAUUGAUGUCCUAUAAAUCAGUUUGAUUACUUGAGUUGCCUGUUAUAUAUAUAACUCCUUCUGCUACUCUUUUACUCUGUAUUCCCCAAAGGUAGGAAGGGAACUUUCCAAGUUGGGAAGCAUCCUGUGAGUGAUUUACUUUUGUCUUUUAAGGACAUCAGUUUCUUUCUUUAUGGGCAUGACUGAGCAAACCAUAGACUCCCCAGCAUGUUUUUGGCACAAGGGGUGGUACAUUAACUAUUUUAGUCCAAUUGGCUAGAGUUUUUUUUCUAGUGGAAGUGUGGAUUGGCAGAUGGCAGUCUAAAAGAGUAAAAUAGCAAAUGUAAGUACGGUUUUAUUUCCUUGAGCCCACAUUAAAAAGUGGCAGGUAGUAUUUUUAGAAUGUUCUUUCUAGCAGUAGACACACAUGUCUCUUAACAUUUUUUAAUCUAUUGUUUUUUUAAUCCCCCUUCCCUCCACCCACAGUUGUCCGACAACUAAUAUUCUUCAGAAUGCAUAUCAGAGUUUAGAUCCUGAAUAUUAACUUUUUAGCUAAGCUAACCUCAGUUUAAUUCUGCAAAUUCAUCAGUUUUUCCUGUGGCAUCAUAUUCUCUAGACUGAGUGAUAAUUUUACCCCUUACAGGAUGUUGGGCAACAACUGGAGACAUUUUUAGUUGUUACAGCUUGAGGGGCUACUGCCAUCUAGUAGUGAGAGCCUGGGAUGCUCGUGACCAUCCUGCAAUACACUGGAGGGCCCCUACAACAAAGAAUUAUCUGCCCCAGAUACUAACAGUGCCAAAGUUGAGAAACCCUGUCCUAGAUUAUCUCCUGAAAUCAAGCUGUGUCUAUGGACCUUUUCCCUCUGGGUGUCAGAGCCCACAAUUUUCUUGAAAUUGUGUUUAGGCCAGCAAAUAAGAAUGAGCAAAAAUCUCUAUAAUCCCAUGCAUCAACUUGGUUAGAAUAACCAGGUAAGUGGUAAAAUACAAAUGUUUGUUACACUUCUCUUUUUCUUUUUGAGAAAUAUGAAGAGUAGAUUAUUUUUACUAAGUGAUGAUGAAGAAUUUUAUAGGUAUCAAGUCAUUUUUUCUCAUAUUUUUAAGAGAAAAGAACUUAGGGGAAUGUAAUCAUUAAGUAUAAAUAUUAAGUGUCUCAUUUCUUAAAAGCUAAAUUGAAGACUCUUUACUAUGUAAGUUACAUGAGUUCUAGUAUUGGUAGUGAAUCUUCCCACAUUUUUGAAAGAGAAAAUUUUCGGUAUAAGAAUCUGGAGAAUUUAAAUAGAGAAGAACUGGUCUGUAUUCUAUUACUAGCAUCAUUUUCUUGCAAAAUAUAUUGAAGGAAGAAACAGCGAUAUGUGUAUUCACCCCUAGUUUUAGAGGAAUUUAGAGAUUAAAUUUUAUAAACUAACUAGGUUUCUGUUUGUUGACUAUAUUGGUAAAUACUGCUUCUAUAAUAGAAGUGUUGUUGUGCCUUAAGAUAGUCAUCAUUAUUGCUUUUUCUAAUGAAGUAAAAACAUCCACAUUCAAAUAUUUCUUAUGCAUAAAAUAGUAUUAUUAGUACUUUUUAAACCUUUUCUUUCUUCUUUAUUUCAGCAGGAAAAUUGAAACUCUGUUUAAUUUUUUAUGUGGUAAAAAUCACAUAGCAUAAAAUUGACCAUCUUAACCAUUUUUAAGUGUACAGCUCAGUAAUGUUAAGUAUAUUUACAUUGCUGUGACACAUAUCUCCAGAACUUUUUCAUUUUGCAAAUCUGAAACUCUAUACCCAUUAAACAAUUCUCCUUUCCCUUCUUCUCCCAGCGCCUGGUAACCACCAUUUUAUUUUCUGUUUUUAUGACCUUGUCUGUGUUACUCAUGUAAAGGUGCCAUAACAAUAUACCACAGACUGGGUGUCCUACACAUCAGAACUUUGUUUUCUCACAGUUCUGGAGGCUGGAAGUCCAAGAGCCAGGUGCCAUCAGGACGCGUCUCUGGCGAGGCCUCUUCCUGGCUUGCAGACAGCGGCCCUCCCACUGUCCUCAUGUGAUCCCUUCUCUUUGUGUGCACAGAGAGAAAAUGCAAGGAGGAGUUUAUGUGCCUCUCUUCAGCUUGUUGAAACUCUCUAAUCCAUCCUACAUCCAGCAGCCAGCCUGGUCAUCCCAGUCCUCUCACUCCCUUGCUUUCUUUCACUUAUCCAAAAUCUUUGUCUCCUUGGAUUAGUGCAUGAGGUUGUCUACAACCUGGCUCUGAUUUACCCACCAUAGCCCUGCCUUCUCCUAUGCCUGUUAUAUCCUCUGUCAUACACAAUCAGAAUGGGAUUCAGCAACUUCUCAAAUAUUCAUCUGUGCAGAUCAUGUAUAGUUCAGUGUGUUUCUUAUGAGUAUAUAAUUACCUGUUAUAUACUCUAAGCUUUCUAUUUCAACCAAUAUCUGUAUUAUUUUUGUAAUAUUUCUAUAAGAAAGGGAUUGAUAUGGAAAUUGAUAUCUUUGUUUAUAAGUAGUCUUGUGUUGGUAAGAAUAUUAGCACACCAAUAAAAUUUUUCUUCUGCUGUCCAUAGUUGAUAAACUAUUCCUUACCUCUUGGGGAAUUGUGUAAAAAUAAAUAUAUAGAAACUAAUUUAAGGCCCAAUGAGUUGUUAGGUUUUUUAACAUGUACUUUCUUAGUGUCUCUUAUCUCUAUCAUUUUAUCCUUUUAGCAACAUAAAAUAUGAUACCUUUACUGAUGAAAUGACAACAUUACUAAUUUUAUCACAGUUUGUUUCUGAAUCAAUAAGGUCAAAGGGUGGAAAUUGAGAGGCACAGCUGACGUUUUAUAUGCUAGUUGUUUAAGUUAACUCUGAAAAUUUAUUUAGGCAUAGUUGAGUUUUCUGAAUAGAACUGUCUCUGGAUUCAAAUAGGUUUAUGUAGAUGCUAUAGACUGCCAUUCCCACUUUUUCUUAGGGGUUAAAUUUUUUUAUUUGUGCAUCUGUGUAUUCUUUUUUGUAAGCUUGGUAUACUCACCCCCCCCUUUAAAGUCUUCAAGGAUAAAUAUUGUGGUUUAAUGAUCUAAUAAUAUUAACUAUAAUUGAUUGAGCUUUUAUUGUGCACCAGACUCGUGCUCAGCUUUUUAAUACAUUACAUCUUUGAAUCCUUAUAACGCCUCUGUAGGGAGUGCUAUGGUUACCAUCAUUUAUAGAAAUUAAGGUUCCUUGCCCAGUGAGGCACAGCAAAACUAUAGUAAACUCAGGAUUCAAAAACAGGUCUGUCUUCAAAACCUUUGGUUAUGUCUGCCGUGUGUCAUACUUUUGCCAGUAUUUAGAGACUAGCAUCAAAACCCACUACCUAUGAAGCAAAAAUAGUGGUGGAUAUGGAUUUAUUUACUAAGCAUUACUUUUGGACUCUUCAGAUUUGUAUCAAGUUUCCUAUAAGCCCCCAUGUAGGAGUAACUAAUCCACUGUUUACCAAUUAGUGAAGCCUAAAUUUGCCUACUGCUUCUCCACCUAAUUUCAAUAUCUACUCUCAUUUCCCUGCUUACAAACACCAGUCUUAAUUGUCUGCCCCUAAGCUCAUCUUAGUUUAUUUCCAUAUUACCAUGCACUCACAAAAAGCUUCAAACCAUCUUGAUGCUUUUUGGGCCAAAAUCCUUUCCUCUCUUGUCCACAUUUGGCUCACAUGCUGGGCUCCUUUGCAAAUAAUUUUGUUUUUUCAGUGUUCUCCAUAUUGAGCUCUCACUUUAGUCGUCUACUCGAUUUGCUUUCCCUGUGUUUCUUUGGACCUAAUUCCAAUAGCUGCUUAUGUAUUCACUCCACCCUUUUCCCAGUGGGGAUAGCUGAUUAAGUCAUUGUAAAACCUCCAGAUCCAUUUGUCUGGCCAGCCCCUUUUUACCUCUUUGAUAAAACCAUUUGGUUGGUGUUUAAAAAUAACUACAUAAAA